rnacentral:rRNA from 1 species
GACGAACGCUGGCGGCGUGCUUAACACAUGCAAGUCGAACGGAAAGGCCUGCUUUCCCUUGUGGAUUGCGGGUACUCGAGUGGCGAACGGGUGAGUAACACGUGAGUGAUCUGCCCCCAACUUGGGUAUAAGCCUGGGAAACUGGGUCUAAUUCCCGAUAGGACUGCAGGGUGGUGCCUGUGGUGGAAAACGAUUUUCUAGUGGUUGGGGAUGAGCCCGCGGCCUAUCAGCUUGUUGGUGGGGUAAUGGCCUACCAAGGCGGCGACGGGUAGCCGGCCUGAGAGGGUGGACGGCCACAUUGGGACUGAGAUACGGCCCAGACUCCUACGGGAGGCAGCAGUGGGGAAUAUUGCACAAUGGGCGGAAGCCUGAUGCAGCGACGCCGCGUGGGGGAUGACGGCCUUCGGGUUGUAAACUCCUUUCGACCGCGAGGAAGCCACCUGGUUGGAAGGGUGGUGACGGUAGUGGUAGAAGAAGCACCGGCUAACUACGUG